rnacentral:rRNA from 1 species
UUAAGCGACUAAGCGUACACGGUGGAUGCCCUGGCAGUCAGAGGCGAUGAAGGACGUGCUAAUCUGCGAUAAGCGUCGGUAAGGUGAUAUGAACCGUUAUAACCGGCGAUUUCCGAAUGGGGAAACCCAGUGUGUUUCGACACACUAUCAUUAACUGAAUCCAUAGGUUAAUGAGGCGAACCGGGGGAACUGAAACAUCUAAGUACCCCGAGGAAAAGAAAUCAACCGAGAUUCCCCCAGUAGCGGCGAGCGAACGGGGAGCAGCCCAGAGCCUGAAUCAGUGUGUGUGUUAGUGGAAGCGUCUGGAAAGGCGCGCGAUACAGGGUGACAGCCCCGUACACAAAAAUGCACAUGCUGUGAGCUCGAUGAGUAGGGCGGGACACGUGGUAUCCUGUCUGAAUAUGGGGGGACCAUCCUCCAAGGCUAAAUACUCCUGACUGACCGAUAGUGAACCAGUACCGUGAGGGAAAGGCGAAAAGAACCCCGGCGAGGGGAGUGAAAAAGAACCUGAAACCGUGUACGUACAAGCAGUGGGAGCCUCUUUUAUGGGGUGACUGCGUACCUUUUGUAUAAUGGGUCAGCGACUUAUAUUCUGUAGCAAGGUUAACCGAAUAGGGGAGCCGAAGGGAAACCGAGUCUUAACUGGGCGUUAAGUUGCAGGGUAUAGACCCGAAACCCGGUGAUCUAGCCAUGGGCAGGUUGAAGGUUGGGUAACACUAACUGGAGGACCGAACCGACUAAUGUUGAAAAAUUAGCGGAUGACUUGUGGCUGGGGGUGAAAGGCCAAUCAAACCGGGAGAUAGCUGGUUCUCCCCGAAAGCUAUUUAGGUAGCGCCUCGUGAAUUCAUCUCCGGGGGUAGAGCACUGUUUCGGCAAGGGGGUCAUCCCGACUUACCAACCCGAUGCAAACUGCGAAUACCGGAGAAUGUUAUCACGGGAGACACACGGCGGGUGCUAACGUCCGUCGUGAAGAGGGAAACAACCCAGACCGCCAGCUAAGGUCCCAAAGUCAUGGUUAAGUGGGAAACGAUGUGGGAAGGCCCAGACAGCCAGGAUGUUGGCUUAGAAGCAGCCAUCAUUUAAAGAAAGCGUAAUAGCUCACUGGUCGAGUCGGCCUGCGCGGAAGAUGUAACGGGGCUAAACCAUGCACCGAAGCUGCGGCAGCGACGCUUAUGCGUUGUUGGGUAGGGGAGCGUUCUGUAAGCCUGUGAAGGUGUACUGUGAGGUAUGCUGGAGGUAUCAGAAGUGCGAAUGCUGACAUAAGUAACGAUAAAGCGGGUGAAAAGCCCGCUCGCCGGAAGACCAAGGGUUCCUGUCCAACGUUAAUCGGGGCAGGGUGAGUCGACCCCUAAGGCGAGGCCGAAAGGCGUAGUCGAUGGGAAACAGGUUAAUAUUCCUGUACUUGGUGUUACUGCGAAGGGGGGACGGAGAAGGCUAUGUUGGCCGGGCGACGGUUGUCCCGGUUUAAGCGUGUAGGCUGGUUUUCCAGGCAAAUCCGGAAAAUCAAGGCUGAGGCGUGAUGACGAGGCACUACGGUGCUGAAGCAACAAAUGCCCUGCUUCCAGGAAAAGCCUCUAAGCAUCAGGUAACAUCAAAUCGUACCCCAAACCGACACAGGUGGUCAGGUAGAGAAUACCAAGGCGCUUGAGAGAACUCGGGUGAAGGAACUAGGCAAAAUGGUGCCGUAACUUCGGGAGAAGGCACGCUGAUGCGUAGGUGAAGUCCCUUGCGGAUGGAGCUGAAAUCAGUCGAAGAUACCAGCUGGCUGCAACUGUUUAUUAAAAACACAGCACUGUGCAAACACGAAAGUGGACGUAUACGGUGUGACGCCUGCCCGGUGCCGGAAGGUUAAUUGAUGGGGUUAGCGGUAACGCGAAGCUCUUGAUCGAAGCCCCGGUAAACGGCGGCCGUAACUAUAACGGUCCUAAGGUAGCGAAAUUCCUUGUCGGGU